rnacentral:rRNA from 1 species
AACGAACGCUGGCGGCAUGCCUAACACAUGCAAGUCGAACGCCCCGCAAGGGGAGUGGCGCACGGGUGAGUAACGCGUGGGAACCUGCCCUGGAGUGGGGGAUAACCGAUGGAAACGUCGGCUAAUACCGCAUACGACCUGAGGGUGAAAGAUUCAUCGCUCUAGGAGGGGCCCGCGUCAGAUUAGCUAGUUGGUGGGGUAACGGCCUACCAAGGCGAUGAUCUGUAGCUGGUCUGAGAGGAUGAUCAGCCACACUGGGACUGAGACACGGCCCAGACUCCUACGGGAGGCAGCAGUGGGGAAUAUUGGACAAUGGGGGCAACCCUGAUCCAGCAAUGCCGCGUGAGUGAUGAAGGCCUUAGGGUUGUAAAGCUCUUUCACCCACGACGAUGAUGACGGUAGUGGGAGAAGAAGCCCCGGCUAACUUCGUGCCAGCAGCCGCGGUAAU